rnacentral:rRNA from 1 species
GACGAACGCUGGCGGCGUGCCUAACACAUGCAAGUCGAGCGAAUGAAGUUCCUUCGGGAAUGGAUUUAGCGGCGGACGGGUGAGUAACACGUGGGCAACCUGCCUCAUAGAGGGGAAUAGCCUUCCGAAAGGGAGAUUAAUACCGCAUAAGAUUGUAGUAUCGCAUGAUACAGCAAUUAAAGGAGCAAUCCGCUAUGAGAUGGGCCCGCGGCGCAUUAGCUAGUUGGUGAGGUAACGGCUCACCAAGGCGACGAUGCGUAGCCGACCUGAGAGGGUGAUCGGCCACAUUGGGACUGAGACACGGCCCAGACUCCUACGGGAGGCAGCAGUGGGGAAUAUUGCACAAUGGGGGAAACCCUGAUGCAGCAACGCCGCGUGAGUGAUGACGGCCUUCGGGUUGUAAAGCUCUGUCUUCAGGGACGAUAAUGACGGUACCUGAGGAGGAAGCCACGGCUAACUACGUG